AUGGGCACGGAAAGCUGUUGCAGCAAUGAACGAGGAGGCGGAGAUGCACAAAGGAGAGGAGGAAAAGCGCGCUCUGGUACUAAUCCAAGCCCGCCGGCGACUCCCCCAUAUGGGUCGGAGCUUUUGGUCUGUUUGCAACUAGAAUUUGAGACACUGGUACAGAGUACGUGUUGGGAAUAUAUACUAAAGAUGCCGAGUCCCGGGCUUCCCCGAACUUGGCUCUCCAGGCUGCAAUCGAUGGAGGCCGGUCUUGCUUAUCUCCCCUCAUGGCCGAUCAAGGAGGCGAACAGUGUCAAUCUGUCAUCGACACCUCAGGGUCUAAAAAACAAGCACCGGGUCCUUCUCCUCCAUGAAUCAGAUGUCAACGAGGCAACACGAAUCUGCAUGAGGCUGAACAUGAAAGAAACAAAAUGGAGACAACUCGACGAGUUUAGGAACAACAUGUAA
rnacentral:rRNA from 1 species